GACGAACGCUGGCGGCGUGCUUAACACAUGCAAGUCGAACGAUGAUCCCGGAGCUUGCUCUGGGGGAUUAGUGGCGAACGGGUGAGUAACACGUGAGUAACCUGCCCUGAACUCUGGGAUAAGCGUUGGAAACGACGUCUAAUACCGGAUAGGACCUCGUACCGCAUGGUGUGGGGUGGAAAGUUUUUCGGUUUGGGAUGGACUCGCGGCUUAUCAGCUUGUUGGUGAGGUAAUGGCUCACCAAUGCGUCGACGGGUAGCCGGCCUGAGAGGGUGACCGGCGACACUGGGACUGAGACACGGCCCAGACUCCUACGUGAGGCAGCAGUGGGGAAUAUUGCACAAUGGGCGCAGGCCUGAUGCAGCAUCGCCGCGUGCGGGAUGACGGCCUUCGGGUUGUAAACCGCUUUUAGUAGGGAAGAAGGGCUUCGGCUUGACGGUACCUGCAGAAAAAGGACCGGCUAACUACGUGCCAGCCGCCGCAGUAAGAC
rnacentral:rRNA from 1 species